rnacentral:rRNA from 1 species
ACGAACGCUGGCGGCAUGCCUAAUACAUGCAAGUCGAACGAGAUCUUCGGAUCUAGUGGCGCACGGGUGCGUAACGCGUGGGAAUCUGCCCUUGGGUUCGGAAUAACUUCUGGAAACGGAAGCUAAUACCGGAUGAUGACGUAAGUCCAAAGAUUUAUCGCCCAAGGAUGAGCCCGCGUAGGAUUAGCUAGUUGGUGGGGUAAAGGCCCACCAAGGCGACGAUCCUUAGCUGGUCUGAGAGGAUGAUCAGCCACACUGGGACUGAGACACGGCCCAGACUCCUACGGGAGGCAGCAGUAGGGAAUAUUGGACAAUGGGGGAAACCCUGAUCCAGCAAUGCCGCGUGAGUGAUGAAGGCCUUAGGGUUGUAAAGCUCUUUUACCCGGGAUGAUAAUGACGGUACCGGGAGAAUAAGCUCCGGCUAACUCCGUG